GACGUAGGGGGACGAGCGUUAAUCGGAAUUACUGGGCGUAAAGCGUGCGCAGGCGGUUCGUUGCGUCUGAUGUGAAAGCCCCGGGCUCAACCUGGGAAUGGCAUUGGAAACUGGCGAGCUAGAGUGUGGCAGAGGGGGGUGGAAUUCCGCGUGUAGCAGUGAAAUGCGUAGAGAUGCGGAGGAACACCGAUGGCGAAGGCAGCCCCCCUGGGCUGACACUGCGCUCAGGCACGAAAGCGUGGGGAGCAAACAGG
rnacentral:rRNA from 1 species